AUUGAACGCUGGCGGCAGGCCUAACACAUGCAAGUCGAACGAGUGGCGGACGGGUGAGUAAUGUCUGGGAACCUGCCUGAUGGAGGGGGCUAACUACUGGAAACGGUAGCUAAUACCGCAUACCAUCAGAUGUGCCCAGAUGGGAUUAGCUAGUUGGUGGGGUAACGGCUCACCAAGGCGACGAUGCCUAGCUGGUCUGAGAGGAGGACCAGCCACACUGGAACUGAGACACGGCCCAGACUCCUACGGGAGGCAGCAGUGUGGAAUAUUGCACAAUGGGCGCAAGCCUGAUGCAGCCAUGCCGCGUGUAUGAAGAAGGCCUUCGGGUUGUAAAGUACUUUCAGCGGGGAGGCGUUACCCGCAGAAGAAGCACCGGCUAACUCCGUGCCAGCAGCCGCGGUAAUUC
rnacentral:rRNA from 1 species